UACAGAGGGGGCCAGCGUUAUUCGGAAUUAUUGGGCGUAAAGGGCGCGUAGGCGGCCAUGCGUGUCUUCCGUGAAAUCCCUCGGCUUAACCGGGGAACUGCGUCUGAUACUGGAUGGCUUGAGUUCGGGAGAGGGAUGCGGAAUUCCAGGUGUAGCGGUGAAAUGCGUAGAUAUCUGGAGGAACACCGGUGGCGAAGGCGGCAUCCUGGACCGACACUGACACUGAGGAGCGAAAGCCAGGGGAGCAAACGGG
rnacentral:rRNA from 1 species